UACGUAGGGGGCAAGCGUUGUCCGGAUUUAUUGGGCGUAAAGAGCUCGUGGGCGGCUCGUUGCGUCGGCUGUGAAAACCCGCAGCUCAACUGUGGGCUUGCAGCUGAUACGGGCGGGCUGGGAUUCGGUAGGGGAGACUGGAAUUCCUGGUGUAGCGGUGAAAUGCGCAGAUAUCAGGAGGAACACCGGUGGCGAAGGCGGGUCUCUGGGCCGAUAUCGACGCUGAGGAGCGAAAGCGUGGGGAGCGAACAGG
rnacentral:rRNA from 1 species